rnacentral:sRNA from 13 species
AUUUCAAUUGCUGGAAGUUUCUUUGGCAACUCGCGCUGCCUUUGGUCCUUUUUAUUUAAUUUUUAGCUGCUACUGCUGUUGCUCCUGCUCCUGAUCCUGCUCCUGCCGCUGCUGUGCUCCUCCGUUUAUGAAAAAUUCAUAAAGGAUAAUGAGCGACAAGAGCGUGUCAACGAAAGGAAAGCAGAUAAACGGGGGCCAAAACGUUUUGCCGAACCAGCGAGCAGCUAAAACGGUGUGAAGCAAGGACAUGCAGGAAACUCUGCACUGGACAUCCCCCGCUUUUGUGGGGCGCCAGAGCAGCCGGAGGAGAAGGUCCUGUUGCAUCUCCAGUGCUAAUUAAAAUCCCGACAAGCCAAGCUCGGGAUGGGUUGCCAUGACAGGUAAGCCUGCUGCCGCAGGAAGCGACGUAAUGGAGUCAAAGGUGUUAGAUAAGUAGCUGGCAAAAAUAUAGUAAAAGGCGGAGAACGUAGUAGCACCUGCUGCAGUUGACAAGUGGAGCGUACACACACAAAACAAAAGACAAGGCACCCGCAUUCCACUCAUUUGGACCCUGGCUUUUUGCCUACGGCUGACGCGCGCGUAAAAAGAGAAUAGAAUGGGGUGCUUUAAAGGGGCACUCGCCAUUUAGUUAUUGGGUUAAUAAAACAACAGUGCGAGGGCGAAAGCAAAGGCAAAACAAAGCUCACCUAGUUGUGAACGAAAUGCACUCGGAUAACGAAAUGUUGGAAUUCCCAGCAAGUCAAAACCAACACUAUGCGCAAAAAGGGAAGACUCUUUCUCUGACCAAAACGACUGACUAACUGGAAAAAGAGGACAGAUCUACUAUCUAUCUACUAUCAAAUUUUUAUUACGCUUCACUAAGUUUUGCAGCUUCACGGGGCGUAUGCGCAAUAUUUGUAUGUGGAUUAACAACCUGCCGCCGCCAAAGAGGAGCAUACAAGGCGGAAAAUAGGGGCGGACCAGUGGCGAAUGCGUAGCGAAGACAUGUCCAAGUGUACAGUUGACAGUUGUGAGGGCGGGAAGGGGGGUAAAAGCGGGGAAAAUACCUGACACAAAAUGAGAACGGACAAAGAACGGAUAAAGAGUGGACAAAGGGGAGAACGCCCAGGGCGCGGAAUGGAAUGCCACGAGCAGUCGUAAUAACUCGAGUGCUUCGGGGCACAUCCUUCAUCAGCAUCCUUGGGCAACGUUGCAAUCAAAGCGAGAUGGAGAUGCUGAUGGCUGCGACAUCUUAAAUGAUUCAACACCUUGAGCUUGAGCGGAUAAGAUCCUUCGAGCAGGACGACGGACAUAUCAAUCAGGAAAAAAGCAGUCAUUGUCGGAACUCUCGCCCCCGCCCUUCUCCGCGCUUCUCAUCGAGUUGAUGUCCUUGUCGCCGAGUGAUAUGUAAAUAUGCAGUUACGCGCUUACUUUGUCGUGCAAUUACAGUAAACCAAGCAUGUACACCAAACAGGAGACCGCCCACUCCAUCACCCUUCAUCAUCGUGUCUGUCUUCCCAGGACUCCCCUGCUCCACAUCCAGCUCCCUGCCAGCUCUGUCGUCGCGGCAAACACGAGGGAAAUUCUUUUGCUAAUGCCAAACACAUCCGUUCUUUAUUUGAUACCCUUAUUAAGGGAGCGUAACAAGUUGUAGUGAAAAUAUGCGAAGGCAGAAUAUGCUACAUCUUGCAAAUGAAGUAAGGAAUGCAAAGUUAAGUUCUAUUACAUUAAAGUGUGGGAAUUGCUUACACAUUAAAAGCCCACAAAAUCAUAAAGUAUCAAGCCCGUGCUCGGUAUCUUGUAGUCGUUAUGCUAACAACUAAAUCUUUAUCCAUUCCCCAAGUAUUAAUGUCGCCGGCACAAAGACCGAGAUGGGAUCUUCGAGAUGUCGAUGGCUUAUUAGCCAGGCACUUUCGCAUGCCUUCACACACCUGUAAUGCCGAGCAUGUGUAAUUCCCUGAUGUCUGGGGAGCAGUGAUAUUUCCCAGCCCGCUGAUUGACUUCCGUUCUUCCGCACUUGUCGCCCAUCCCCAAGAAGCCUUAAUCGAUUUUACACCCAAAGGACAUUUUCUGGUGAUUGUGUCUGCGGUUUGUUCGCUGCCUUUGAUUUCCAGCGACUUCCCACUCC